GGAUCAUGACCUGAGCUGAAGGCAGAUGCUUAACAACUGAGCCACCCAGACGCCCCUAACCAGUGUUCUUGAUGAUCUCUCAGUAAAGCAAAGCACUCUAAAUGUCUUAAUAUCAUGAUUUUUUUCAGGGUAUUGAUAGCUUAUUUUGUCGUAAACUUUAAAUGACAGUUUGAAAAGUGAGAUGGUAAAUGGUUUUAUCUAGGCUUCAUUAGUCAUAAAGCAGACAACCACUUGGAUUUAUGGUUAAAUGAUCUUUUUUGCUUUUUUUAGGUGUGUAGUAUGCAUGUGUGAUUUUGAGUCAAGGCAGCUACUUAGAGUUUUACCCUGUAACCACGAGUUCCAUGCCAAGUGUGUCGACAAAUGGCUUAAGGCAAAUCGUACUUGCCCAAUCUGCCGAGCUGAUGCUUCAGAAGUGCAUCGGGAUUCAGAAUGACCAAUCUAAGAGCACAAAUUUAGUUUGGGUGUUCCUCAUCACAUGUAUAUACGAACUAUCCAUUGAACUUAAUCUGUGUGGCUUCCAGCCCUCCCUUUACCAAAAGGGUCAAUGGACCUUUCUUUGCACUGUGUGACUUAAUCAACUAUAAAAGCUUACAAUUAGUCUUCACAAUUAUGGGAUUGUUAUACUAACCGUGUGAUUGGAACUCCAAAGACUUUUUCUUUAGCUUAAUUUUGUGUGUGCACUAACAUUCCCUGGUUUUUGUGUGAUCAUUCCGAGUGUUGCUGCAAGAUUACAGUGGACGUGAUCUUUUAGCAUGUGCUUUUAUAAAAAGUGGUAGCUCCAGAUGAUAUAGCAAUCUACCUUAUAUAGAGCCUUCAGAAACUGUGAGUGGAAAUGAAUGCAGUGUAUGACUGUUGGUGAUAAAUGUAUCUGUGUGUGGGAGAGAGUGUGCGCAACUACUUGUGUGAGGGCAUGGUAGCUAAUGUGUGUAUGAGAUCCUAUAUACCAGCAUGUACCAAGAAUGUGUGUGUAGUUUUAAUUAUGCUGCAAUGUAUAAUCUGGUGUGUUAUUUAAACAGCACUAGUACUGUACACUGGUUUUUUCCCUUGUGUUUGCUGUUGCACACUGAUUGCUAAGGGUGCAUCAAUGAUAAGCAUUGAAUACUCCAUCCCUUCCCUCCCAGUGAAUGGAAUGAGAAAAGCCUUCUUCCUUUGCUUCAGGCAGCUGUCACCUUCUCUUCGUUGGUGGUCCCAAGUGGGUCACUUAAGAAAAAAAGUGUAACAGAUUUCUCACUCCAUGAACCGGAUUUUUUGAUUCUGUUGUGGAAAAAAAAAAAUUUUUUUUUUUUAAUCUCCAACUUGCUGUUUCCAAAAAGAAGGUGCAAUAUCAUACGUCAUCAGUUAGCAAUAUUAGCAUUUCAAUCAGUGAUUUGAAUGUUGAUACUUUCUUGUUUUUUCCUUUACAUUUCCAGUAAGCUUCUUAGAGGAAGUACCUGUGAUUUUUUUUUUUUUUUAAUGUUUAGGAUUGUAGUCUAUUCUGAAUAUAUUUGAGUAAUAUAUUUCUAAGAAUAUCGCUGGUCCCAUGAAGUCUCACCUCCUUUACUUCCACCAGAACAAAAUCUGUUAGCUAAUUCAGCUUGACUUCUGAUACGUUCUUUGUUAAGCUCUCAUAGGCAACUAAAUUGUUUUAAGAAACUGUAUUUCUGUUUGUAUCGAUUCACCUGCCAACCUCCAAUUCUGAAAGUUGUCUAGUUCUUCCCUCAGUAAAUGUGCUUCUCAUGGAAACCCUCAUUUCCAGGAUGGAUCAAGUGCUGUGACAGCUCGAAUUCUUAGACCUGAUGUGCUUCGAUGUUUUAUUGCUUUUUAAAAAAAUUUUUGUUUGAAUGAGAAAAAUUUAAUAUAACAGGUCCAGAAUACUUGCAGUAUAAAUGAAGAUUUGAUUUUUUGUAUAAAAAAUAAUGCUGUAAAACAGGAAUUGACCUUCAUUUAGUUGAUCUGAAAUAAUACAUAGCUGUGUGGGGUUUUUUUAUAGGUCCAUUGAGCAUCAUUUAGAUUGUUUAAAGUCAUUUUUCCAGCAAUGUUUUGAUUCCUCCCUCGUUCUUUAUUGUCUUCAACAUUGUCUGUCUCUUCCUGCAGUUGAGGUCAUUGCUUUGUUUGCAGUAGCGCAAGCUGCAUAAUCCCAGUCAGGACUGUGAUGACUUGCUGCCAGCCUCACUCAGCUUUCAGUUGGCUCUGUGUCAGUUUUCUACUCAGUGUUAACUACUUGUUACUGCCAUGCUACUUGCCUUCCCUUGAAGUCUCUAUAAGCUCAUCCCAGCUUAGAGUUCAGUAAAGUCAAUUCUCACAGAAGCACAAUUUUGCCCUUUUCCAGACACUGUUGCCUCUAUCUAGUCAGACAAAUAGGAUUUUGCACACUUUCUGUUUGCCCCUGUAUUUGUCAGUGCAUCAGAAAUACAUCUCAACAGUGCUAAGGUGCACAUGUUACUUUUCAAUCAUUAGAACGUUCCCCACCUGUUCCUGAUGAAUAAAAAGCGUGUUGAAGACCAAAAUUAUUGGCAUAGGCAUAAUAAUCAGCUACAUUAUGAAUCACGUAUAGUUUGAUCUUUAUUUUUUUUAAUUAUAAAAAAUCAUGUUUAAAAUGGCAAAAGCCCAUCUUAUACAUAGACUCUUUUAUAUAGCUGCAAAAAAUUUAUAUCUGUACAGAUCUAACAUAACACUACUACACUCAGUAUUCAUUUUAUUGAAGCAUGCAAGUAAAGCACUUUUUCUAAUUUAUAUAGAUACCUAAUUAACAAGGCACAUUGUACUAAUGACUAGGAAAAAUAGCUCUUUCUUCCCUCCCUCUUACGAUGAAUUCUUGUCAUAAUAUCCCUUUUCCACCAAAUUUUCGAGAGGCAGUUGGCAAUUUAGGAGGCAGCAGGGUCUAUUUUGGUAAAAUCCUGAAGUAAUGUUGCACUCUUGUGACUGAUCUCUCUUUGGGAAUGUCUUUCUUUGCAUGGGGCCCUUAGAGAUGUGUACAGAUUUGCUUAUUAAGUGGUUAGUGUGUAUUAGGAGCAUACAUUGCAUGUGUUCUGAACCAGCUCAGACUAGCCACUGUGAGCAACUUCAUGGCUAGCAAAAGAAAGAAUAGUUGAUUCAUGCCCAGCUGUUGUCACCUUGAGCGAUGCACCAGAUAGCAGGCAGAUGUUGGUUUGUUGCCUUCUUCCUCUUUUCUCCUAAAACAAUAUUGGCUUUACCAUCUUAACUCUGCUGUGGGGUUUCAUUUUGUGUUGUUUUGCAUGAAUUAUCAUUUUUGAAUUAUUUUAGCGUGCUCCCCCCCCCAAUAGAACAAAAAAAAAACAAGUCAAGGCCUCCAGGUAUCAAGAUCUCAUUAGGAUUUUCUGUCCUGAAUUUUUUUGAGCAAAAUCUGGAAAAUGUGAAAGCAUAUUUAGAUUUUAUACACUCUCUGAAAUGUGAUUUAUUAAGAUUCUUAAAUCUGGGCCUCUUACAGUAUUUUGAAUGAGAUCUACCAACUCAAAGAGAAUAUUUUUCACAGAUAUCUUUAGGCCUUCAUUAGAAAGCUAUUUCCCCCCCUGUUGGUACAUUUGGUUACCUCAUUUUGCUGUUUGUUUCAGAUUAUGAAAGCUUACAGGGGUGUUUUUUGGAAUCAUUUGCUGAGUCAUUUCCUCAAAUCAUAUUCCAUUGUAUCGGUUAACAUAUAGUUUUAAAUGUACGUAUUAUAAAUAUCUGUAACCAAAUCAUUUGAAGGCUUGAUAAAUUUUUAACAAAGUUUGUACAUUUUUUAUGAAAGUUACUAGUAAUGCUUUACUAAGUAGUGCAAUGAAUUUUUAUUUUUAAUCCCUGUGCCCAAUUUUGGAGUUGAGAGGGUUGUUGGUAAUAAAUGUAUGAUGUACACUUAAAACA